CCUAGCAACGCUCCUUGGAUACAAGCAGGAGUGAGCUCAUUCACUUUGGAGGACUGAUGACAGCAACAACAACAACAUGGAGCCUCGAGAUAGGGGGACAGAGUCUGUUCAGUUUCCAGCAGAUGAAGAUACAAGUCGAUCUGUUGGACAAACAUCCAUAAAUCAACCGGGAGCUCAAAGUCAUGACCGGCAGAGGGAGAGGCAGCCCAGGCUGGACACAGAUAGCUGGGAGCCUCAACAGCGAUGGAUGCGCUCUUUUGAGCCGGAAUUUCAGGACAGCAGCAUGUCUCCAGCCCUCUUCCUGUUGCCUGCACACUCUGGAGUGGAUCACAACUUCACAGAAUGUUCUUUAUUCCAACAAAGUGACAGUGAAUUUGCCCCUUUACGGCCGUUCCCUGACCUCUCUAUGGCAUCAGAGAGGUUUUACGUUCCUCCCCAGGAUCGCACCACUCAGGCCUCUGAGCGCGGGUCCCUGUCCCAGUUCCCUUUGGCCCAGGCAACCAUUCUGUCUGAAGAGGGAGUGAGCAGCUGCUGCUCUCUGUCCCAACACAGUUUAUCUCCAGGAGACGAAGGCAGACAAGAGGAAAAAGAUCACUCACCAGCGACUGCAACCAAUGACAGACAGGGAGUACUAUCCAGUGAGGAUUCGGAUAGCAGAGAGAAAGACUCAGAGACUCAAACUGAACCUCCAGACACACAAGUACGAGAGGCUGCUCAAGAUGACAUAUUCUUUCUGAGUAAGGAUGUUCCUGCCCAGCAUCUUCUAGAGCUCCUGCAGAAAGAUAUGGGUAUGCAAAGCAGUAGUAGUAGUGCUGUUUCCUCCUCCUGUGAGACCUCUGUGAAGGUGGCUACAUCUUUUGCAGAAGACUCUAAAAACGCUCAAGUUUGCAAACCAGGCUUUGAGCAAAGCAUGGUUAAAAGAGAAGGUCCUCCAGGGGAAGCUUCUGUUCCCCAGCAGCAGUCAAAACAACCUGAUAGAGAUUUAUUCCCUGACCAAUCACAGACAUUGUCUUAUGAAGAAUGCAACAUAACCAUGGGGCUCCGAAGCACCAAACCUGAUGUCAGCAGUGAAGAAUUACACAGAGAGUUGCUGUCUGAGGUAGAGAGGCGCAGCAGUCGUGAAAAUGAAUCUAAAAACCAACAGCGCAAAAGUUCUACACCACCCGUUAUAUCUCUCACACCAUUUCCCUCAGGGACGUCUGAAGUGAAGCCAAGUGCUUUCAAAAGUCACUUUGGUGGCCUGCAGUUGACAGGGCCGUUUUCAGCCGGCUUUGAGCGCGGUCACAGAGAACAAGACCUCUGGCUCUCUGGGAACCACACAGGGAUUGAUGGGUCCUAUCUGGGGUUCAUUCCACAAUCUCAAUCCACUCCAGGGGUGUUUAAAGCUCCAUCCAAAUCCAGUGUCAAGGCUAAAUUAGGGCUAGUCUCUGCCAUAGAAUCCAACAAAGAGAACUCUUCUCAGUCAAACACCGGUAUCUCUCCACAGCCAGCUGUUCCUGCAACUGAUCCCCCUGAAACAACAAAUCAGAGCCAAGAGGAAGCCACCUCUGCUGAAGUCCAGUCUCUCCCAAGUCUCAACUACAUGCAGAAAGUAGAUGCCUGGAGGGCCAAUCAGAGUUCAGGCAAGGCAGCACUGUUUCAGAGCUUGGCACUGCAAAGAUUUUCCAGCCCUUCUCCGAAACAGAAAGCUUACGAAACGGUAUCUGAACCCCUGAAUCGCAGCCUGAGUCAGCAGGCAGGGAGUUUACAGCCAAGUGCUGCCAAUCAGGAGGUCACACAGAGCUCCUCCAAGGCUCCCUCUGGAUACUCUUCUCCCAGGAGAGGGGAGGCGGUGGGCAGUGCUCCCAGUGACAAAGAUAACUCUGCAACAAGACCUUCUGCAUCACCCUUUGGCAGGUCUCAGUCCCACUCCUCUCUUAGCACCGUUAUCAUGUCGGCGAAGAAAGAUCAGCAGAGUAAAAGACCUGCAGAUAACGGGAACAUUGAGGCUCAUCAUCAGCCAAGCACCACAGUUCAGCCCCCGCCUCGCAUGAGCCUCAGUCAGUUCAGCGACGUGUCUCUUGAUCAUGAUUUGACGCUCUCAAGUUCCCAAGAAAGUUACAACAGUGGAGUUAAAUUAGCAACGUCCAUCGGAGCGUCUUCUGUUGUCAGUCUGGAGGUCGAUAACUACGCUCCGUACUGGACUUCAAAGCAAUCAACACCACCACCUAUGGCAAGGCAACGAGAGAUAGACAUCGAAGAACGAAUCCCGUUGUAUCUUCGUAACCUGGGUAUUGACCAGUCCCCCUCAACUAUUCUAACUCCAUUUGCACCCAGAGGACCAAUCAGAGAGCCAGAGUUCUCUCCCACUGAUCUCUGCACUAUUAAAGGAUCUAUUGGAACACCAACCAAGAGCACCUUACCCUCUGAAGGUGGCAGUCACAAUAAAGGAGAGUUUUCCAGGUGCAGCAUUCUGUCAGUGGACUCCAGUAUAUCCAUCCCGUUGAGCCUGGACAGUCUCGGUCCAGGUGCUUCUCUCCCAGAGCGCAGCAGGCAGACGUCCCCUCCAUCAGAUACAGAAGCUGUGCAGAGUGAACGCAGACUGGCUCCCUCCUCCCUGCCGGAUGAAGACUCCUACCCUUCCAGCCAGCAACCCCACAUGGACAGUAGCCUAACCAGCAGCCAGAACACCAUCACACUCGGAGACAGGUACGACUCCGACCUCUCGUUAGCUACCAAGGCUAACGGUGCGGAUUCAGACCCGGAGUCUCCCUUGCAAAACGAGCCGACGUUUGGAGCAAAGCGCAGAAGAUUCUAUGGUUAGCUCGAAGGCCUUGAUGGAAAUCCGUAAACUCCUCUCUCAGGCGGAGAACAUGGUGUCUUCUGGAUCUUCUGUAGAUCCCUCUGCCCCCACUGCAGUGCCCCGGGUGCUCUCUGAUGAUAACCUCUUCCUUUCACUGAGGGAGAAAUCCAGCACCCUCCAGGACUCUUCCUCCUCCGCUACCGAGGAUCCCAGAGCUCGAUUCUACCCCCUGUGGGCCAGAUCCGCAUCCGACUCCAUGCUGACCUCCGACAGACUGAGAGAAAACUCUAUUGGUCGAGAGACUUCAUCGGGGCAGCCUACUUAUCUGUCCACACAGGGCCUUACGUCCACAGGGGCAUACAAGAGGCCACAGGAUGUUGGUAGAGGUGCAGGGUCGGCCCUUGUCCUCUCCCAAUCAGCCCGACGUGCAGAGCCUGAGGGAUGCAGUGCUGCCCCCCCCGACAACACCGUCCCACCACAACCAACAUCCAUCCCACCUUCACCUGCUUUGAGUAUACAGCUCACAUCUACUGCUACCGAAACGGCGAAGGUCACAGAGGAGGAAAAGCAGGCUCCUGAGGAAGAUCCUGUGCAGAGCAGCUCCCCCCCGGCCGCCCUGGAGGACAGCGAUCAGGGAGUGAUGAGUGACGGCAGCAGCGAGAGCUCGCUGGCGGUCAGAGUGGCCCAGUUACUGCAGAGUGAGUCUCCGGCCACCAUGGUGUCCAGUACACCCAGCGUCACUGACAAUGAGGAGAGCAAGGCCAGAGAGUGGAUAAAGCUGAAAUCUCAGGGCAGCAGUGUGAGCCUCUGGUGUUGGAUACAGAAGACAGAAGGCGGAUUGAAGAGAUCAAGAGAGAGCUGCUGUUGAAAAACCCAAUAAUG